GCGGCGGUAGCUCAGUGGCACGAGUAUUGGCCUCCGAAGCCAAGGGUCGUGGGUUCGAUCCCCGCCAGCCGCACCA
rnacentral:tRNA from 1 species